GGAGGAACAAAGCGUCAUUAUUCAGUGAUCUGCCUGGCUCUCGGAUGGGACGGACACCCUCGCUGAGCUCGUUGGAGCUCGACGGAGCUCGUCCUAUUGAUGGUGUUACUUGUUAGGAUAUUUUGUUUUUUCCUGUAUUCAUAAGUCUCAUUUAGUAAGACUUUGGGAUUGAAAUGCUUAAUUCCUACGAUCAACUUCCAUGCAUGGUGCUUUUCUGCAAUAGUUUUUCUGUUUCCUAUGCAAUCAUUAUAGUAGAAUAAAGGAAAUAAUCUUGGGAUAGCGAUUCAAUAAAUAACAGGUCCCCUGUCUAGAGCGUACGCGUCCUUGAGCCGUGCUGCUGCAUGCUUGGGUGAUGACGUCAUGCCGCAUUCAUUGCAGGUGGAUCUUAACCCAAGGAGUUGCGUUGGCAGUUAGUGAAAAAAAAAAAAACACUGUAGGCUUGGGACAAUAGGAUGACGUCACGACCAAUGAGCAAGUCCUGCAGAGGGCGUAGGAGUUCACUUCUCUCAUAGCCUCUCGCAGGUACAGUCGCGUUACUUCUCACUGGUGGUCGUCGCAGGUGGCGCUAGGAGCGCGCCCGUAUGCGUAGCACCCGUAGCAGCCGCCGGCUCUAAAGCGAAACGCACCGCCUCGAAAAUAUUGUCGCCACCAGCGUGCCAGCUCGGAAGAUCUCUCAUUGGCUGCGCAUUAUAUGUAUAAAUAUUUGGAUGCUCAUUGGUCUAAAAAACGGGCGUCAGUUUCCUUCGCGCUGAUUGGGCGAGAGUCAUUUGACUGAGGAGCGAGCAUCCGAACGCGCGAACCGCUCAACGGAAGCAGUCGAACGGAGGAGAAAGAAGAACGACAGAGGAGACAUCGCGUCUGCAGUGUUGCCAGUUCUACUGAAAUUUCAGUAGAUCUACUGGAUUUCAGGUCCGCCUACUGAAAUACUGAAAAAAGAUCAAAAUGCGCUGAAAUCUACUGAUUUUUUUGCCUGAAACAUUGUUUUGCUUUGCGAACUCCAAUUUACGUUUGCUGACACUGUCUGAUUACAUUGUAGUUCGCGUACUAGCGGGAAAAUCAUGUCGUUCGUGCUGGGAGCACUAUAUGAGUGCUACACAAAUCCCGAAGAGAAUUAUUUUUGAUACAGUAAGGGGUCUACGUGUUAUGUGGCGAGCAGCUGCCCAAGUAAAACAACUUACAGCAAAUACAUUGAAGAAGUAUGCGCAUAUACCGUAAACAGUGACAGCUUUAGCUUUAACCAAGGACGACACAGCACAUAUUCCACAAAACAUGGACGACACAGACAUAUUCCACAGGACACCCGGUAAACCCACACCUCUCGUAGUUCCAUUGCAGAGGGAUGCCCAGAGUAGGGCUUAACAUAAUCACGUUCAGAUAUUCAUAUAGAUGGUCACAGUGCGACACAGUCAAUGCCCGCAACUGAAGACAUCUAACGACAGGAAGCUGGGCCACAAAACUAACGAAUCGAAAGGUAUAUCGGACAACAGAAAUCUCCCAUUUUUUAUUUUUUUCGUGGUGACUAUUUACCACGGAUGAAGUGAUGAAGUAGGGUUGUGGCGUACAGCGAGCACCAUUAGAUAAAAUCCGGUACCAUACGGUGCGGUUUAUUGCAGAGCGAAGCCCUUUGGAAGGAGGCGAAGGGCUUGCUUCGGCACUGCAGACGCAUGAUGGCGUCUGCUUCGCCCUGUUCUCUUGCAAUAAAGCUGUUUUUGUUACAUCUACUGAAUUUUACUGAAUUUCCUGGCGCCGGCCUCCCGCGCGUCUGUCCGGCCAUGCGUGUUCUCUUGGACUGCAACCGUUGUGCACGCAGACGCUACGGGGUAGUUUGAGGGCUUUGAAUGCUUUAGAUUUAGAUUGUGGCGAACUGCUAAUGUGAGAACGGAAUGGCACAUCCACCCCAUCAUCACAACAGCGGGAAGACGAACAUGACAUGGAAUCCGCCUGCACCUCCAAAGGACGCAGAAAUCGUCAGAGAGGAAGUCUGCACUCUUUCCGACGUACUGCAGGUGAACGUUCUCCCGCAACCAUCGGCAACAACGACGCACAUAGCUCAGCAUUGGCUUUUGAACGGCCCUUGGAUGUCGAAGUACCCAAAGCUCCAGUGAAGCCUGUUACAAGACGUAAAAAGAUAUGUACUGUAGCUUUUUCGAGACAGUUCCCGGGGACAAAUAAAGUUGAUUUGUCAUA